rnacentral:rRNA from 1 species
CGUAGGUGGCAAGCGUUGUCCGGAAUUAUUGGGCGUAAAGCGCGCGCAGGCGGCCUUUUAAGUCUGAUGUGAAAGCCCACGGCUCAACCGUGGAGGGUCAUUGGAAACUGGAAGGCUUGAGUGCAGAAGAGGAGAGCGGAAUUCCACGUGUAGCGGUGAAAUGCGUAGAGAUGUGGAGGAACACCAGUGGCGAAGGCGGCUCUCUGGGUCUGUAAACUGACGCUGAGGCGCGAAAAGCGUGGGGGAGCGAAACAGGAUU